CUUCAGAUCAGAAGAGUUUAAUCAGGUAAUUGUCUGCAGGAAGGAAGAAACCAAAAGACAAAAUCCACAUAAGAAAUUUUCUUUAGGGGGAAAACUAAUUUUGCAAAAUAUAUGAGCAAUAUAAAGUGGAGGGCAAAGAGGUGGAUUCCUCUGCCACAUGAAAUAAAACAUAUUUUUUACUGAUUAAAAUGUUUACUUGAAAAAGGGUUCAGAGGGUACCUGAUUUUGCUCUCUUCAUUUUUCUUCUAGUUAAAGGAGCAAUACACGUAUGGAUAUUGAUGAAAAAAAUGUGGUUCCCCACAGACAUCUUUCUGCAUGUAUGAUAUCCUAGAAGGGAGGAAACAGCUUGAGCCUGAAGGUCUCUAGUUUUUGACUACAAGGCAUAAAGACUGCUGUUGUGUUCUGCUUUUUAGAGAUGCUGAGCAGCCAUAAAUAUGGAUGAAGUCAAGGGAGCCAUAGCUUUCAGCAACAAAGGUAUAUACCGCAUCAGGAUGAGGAGGGAUUUUGGACCAUACCUUCUGGCAGGGUGGCAUCCCAGGUCUAAAUUGAGGAUGAGCAGAUACUGAAAUGCCCAACUCAUUGUACUUGGGUGAAAAAGGAUACCAUGGAAGUGUCAAAAGGUAUGGCAUUUUGACAAGUCCUGAAAGGACAACUGAAUGCCAGCAUCUGUCCUUCAAACAACAGAAUUUCAAAGACAGGAGAGGGAAGAAGAUAGCAGUGAGUAUCGUUUGGUGGAACAUUCCCAAUCAUUUUUUUUUUUUUUUUUUUUUUUUUGCAAAUAGUUGUUCAAAUGAAUGAGCUGUAAUUAACUAUUCACAUCUUUUUUUGUGUUUGCUUUCCACAAAUAAUCCAGUAUAUCAGUUUAUUGGCAAGAAUGAUCAAUGCUGCAAUGACUUUGCAUUUAUAAUUAUUAUUAUUACUAGCAGGCAGAUUCUGAGAGAUAUCCUCAACCAAUUAGAAAACAAACAUGUGACUGAUAUGUCCAAUCAGAUUCCCUUUUGAAUGCCAAAUAUCAGAUACACUGGUUAAACUGCCUUCCAAUAACGUG
rnacentral:lncRNA from 1 species